rnacentral:rRNA from 1 species
UACAGAGGUCCCGAGCGUUGUUCGGAUUCAUUGGGCGUAAAGGGUGUGUGGGAGGCUAGGUAAGUCGGGUGUGAAAGUUCACCGCUUAACGGUGAAAGUGCAUUCGAAACUACUUGGCUCGAGGAUUGGAGGGGGAGGCGGAAUUCAUGGUGUAGCAGUGAAAUGCGUAGAUAUCAUGAGGAACACCGGUGGCGUAGGCGGCCUCCUAGAAAAUUCCUGACUCUGAAACACGAAAGCCAGGGGAGCAAACGGG